GAGUUUGAUCGUGGCUACAGGACGAACGCUGGCGGCGUGCUUAACACAUGCAAGUCGAACGGAAAGGCCCCUUCGGGGGUGCUCGAGUGGCGAACGGGUGAGUAACACGUGGGUGAUCUGCCCUGCACUUUGGGAUAAGCCUGGGAAACUGGGUCUAAUACCGGAUAGGACCACAUGCUGCAUGGUGUGUGGUGGAAAGCUUUUGCGGUGUGGGAUGGGCCCGCGGCCUAUCAGCUUGUUGGUGGGGUGAUGGGCCUACCAAGGCGACGACGGGUAGCCGGCCUGAGAGGGUGUCCGGGCCACACUGGGGACUGAGAUACGGCCCAGACCCCUACGGGAGGCAGCAGUGGGGGAAUAUUGCACAAUGGGCGCAAGCCUGAUGCAGCGACGCCGCGU
rnacentral:rRNA from 1 species